AUGAACUACAUCAGUACCGGUAGAGAAUAUCCGGAGACCUGCUUUAUCAUGCCUAGCCAUUUCCAUGCAGCAUCACUUGUUCGUGGACCAAAGAAUAUGAAAUCAGUCGGUGAGCAUGCUGAGAGGAGGGUGAUAACUUACUGGGACGUGGGAGUCACGGGCGCUGCGCUUGGGGUCGGUGGCGGAGAAGACGGUAUAGACAAGCACGAAGGUGCCGAUGAUCUCGGCGGCGAGGCCGGUGCCCGUGGAGUAGCCGGAGCUGAGCUCGUUGGCCCCGCCGCCGUAGCGCACGUAGAAGGCGCUCUGGAACCCCUUGACGAGCCCCACGCCGCAGAUGGCGCCCAGGCACUGCGCGAUGAUGUAGAGCAGCGCGCGCACCAGGGACACCUUGCGCGCCAGGAACAGCCCGAAGGUCACCGCCGGGUUGAUGUGUCCCCCGGACACACCGGCGGUGCAGUAGACGAGCACGAAGAUCAUGCCGCCGAACGCCCAGGCGAUGCCGAGGAUUCCCACGCCGCUGCAGGCCGCGUCGGCGGCGUUGGGGCCGGCGGGGUCUGCCUGGUGCUUGUACCCGAUGACGGUGGCCACGGUGAUGUAGAGGAAGAGCAGCGUGGCCACGAACUCGGCGAUGACCGCGCGGUACAGGGACCACUUGGUCAGCUCCUCGGCGUCGAAGAGCGGCGCCGGCGGCGGGUCGGAGUAGUCCUUGGCCGCGUACCCCCCGCCGGGUGGCGCCGCCUCGAUGUCCUUGGCCAUCGUCGCCUCCUCAGCCGAUCGACAAGCUAG
rnacentral:rRNA from 1 species